CAUAAAACUUAAAUAAAAUUUUAAAACUAUCUCUUCUUUUAUUAAUUUUGAAAAAUAAUAAUAUUCAUAAAAACAUCUAGUGGAGUGGGGUCAAGCUAAGAUAUUUGUAUCAUUUAAAACUCUCCUCAUAUUUAUCUACCACCUAACGGCUAACAGCCAUUAAAUGAUAACUUCCAAACAAAAUUCGACCCUAGAAGCUGCUGCCUUAUCCGAUUAUUCGGUACGCUUAUGCUUGCAAGAAAACUGAUAGAUUAGGUACUGUUAGUUACAAAUCCGGCAUUUCCCAGAAGGAUGAGGCACGAUUGCUGCAAUAUCAAGAGGAUUCUGUGUAUACUUCUAUAUGAUAUCUUUUUGAUGUCCAUGAGCUCGGCGUUUAGGAAUAUUCCCACUUUAGGAGAUGAAUCAGAUCGCUUAGCUCUACUUGACUUGAAAGGUAGAAUACUGAACGACCCACUUCGAAUCAUGAGCUCUUGGAAUGAUUCCUUGCAUUUCUGUGAUUGGAUUGGUGUUACUUGCAAUACUACUAUUGGAAGAGUGCUGGUUUUGAAUUUGGAAGCUCGGAAACUGACUGGUUCAAUAGCGUCUUCGUUGGGAAACCUUACUCAUCUCACUGAAAUCAGAUUAGGAGACAACAACUUUCAUGGCCGAAUUCCCCAAGAGUUGGGUCAGUUACUCCUUUUACGUCAUCUCAAUUUAUCCUUCAAUAACUUUGAUGGUGAGAUUCCAGCGAAUAUAAGUCAUUGCACUAAGCUUGUUGUUCUGGAGUUAAGUAUCAAUGGACUUAUAGGACAGAUUCCCUACCAGUUCCUUUCGUUAACCAAGUUGGAACGACUUGGUUUUGGCGGUAACAAUCUGACUGGAACUAUCCCACCUUGGAUAGGAAAUUUUUCUUCCAUAUCUCAUUUGUCAUUCGCGCUGAACACUUUUCAAGGGAACAUUCCCAGUGAACUAGGUCACCUAUCUAAAUUGGAAUUCUUCACAGUUUAUGGGAACUAUUUGAUAGGUACAGUACCGCCUUCAAUCUAUAAUAUAACUUCUCUUACUUAUUUUUCUCUUACUCAAAAUCGAUUACAAGGAACUCUACCACCAAAUGUUGGAUUUAUUCUUCCCAAUCUUCGAGUCUUUGCUGGUGGUGUCAAUAAUUUUAGAGGGCCUAUUCCAACGUCCUUGGCGAACAUCUCCAAUCUUCAAGUUUUAGAUUUUGCUGAGAACAGUCUCACUGGAAUGCUACCUGAUGACUUGGGGAUCUUAACAGACUUGGUGAGACUCAAUUUUGACGACAACCAACUUGGAAGUGGGAAAAUUAGUGACUUGAAUUUAAUAAGGUCCUUGGCUAAUUGUACUAGUCUAAGGGUUUUGGGCCUUGCUAGGAAUCGCCUGGGAGGAACAUUGCCUCCAUCUAUUGGAAACCUUACCAACCAGCUGACAAUUCUAACCUUAGGCAGUAAUAUGUUAAGUGGAAGCAUUCCUGCCGGGAUUGAAAACUUGAUUAACUUGCAAGUUCUUGGACUGGAAUAUAAUUAUGUGAAUGGUAAUGUCCCUCCCAAUAUUGGGAAGCUUCAGAACUUGGUUUUUCUUCAUUUGAAUGGUAACGACUUAACUGGGCUAAUUCCAUCCUCCAUUGGUAACUUAUCUUCAUUGACUAAACUCUUCAUGGAGGAUAACAAACUUGAGGGAAGUAUACCACCAAGCUUAGGCGGAUGCAAAAGCCUCCAAGCUCUUGACCUUUCUGGUAACUACCUAAGCGGCACCAUACCUAAGGAAGUUCUCGGUCUCUCUUCCCUUUCAAUUUAUUUAGCCUUGAAUCAUAACUCACUUACUGGUCCAUUGGCAUCCGAAGUGGGCAAGUUAGUUAGUUUAACACUAUUAGAUGUAUCAGAGAACAAAUUGUCAGGUGAUAUUCCUAGCAACCUCGGUAAGUGUAUUAGCAUGGAACAAUUGUAUAUGGGGGGUAACCAAUUUGAGGGAACAAUUCCUCGAUCUUUGGAAGCUUUGAGAGGUCUAGAAGAACUAAAUCUCUCAAGUAACAACUUGUCUGGACCAAUUCCUCAAUUUCUUAGCAAGCUUCUUUUGCUCAAGCAUCUUAAUCUAUCCUAUAAUAAUUUGGAGGGGGAAGUGCCCAAAGAAGGGAUUUUUUCUAAUUCUACCUUGAUUUCUCUAAUUGGAAAUAAUAAUCUAUGUGAUGGUCUGCAAGAAUUGCAUUUACCUCCGUGCACACAUAAUAGAACACAUUCCUACAAGUUUCUAGCACCAAAUGUGUUAACCCCUGUGGUAUCCACGCUCACAUUUCUAAUAAUUCUUUUGAGCAUCCUUUUUCUGUUUGUUAUGCUGAAGAAGUCGAGGAAGAAUGCUUUAUCUUCAUCUUCCUCCAAGGAUUUACCAUCACAGAUUUCUUACCUAGAACUCAAUAAAUCAACUAAUGGGUUCUCUGUGGAGAAUUUGAUUGGUUCAGGAAGUUUUGGUUCUGUGUAUAAAGGUGUUCUUUCGAAUGAUGGAUUAGUUGUUGCCAUUAAGGUUCUAAACCUUCAACAACAAGGUGCUUCUAAGAGUUUUGUCGAUGAAUGCAAAGCUCUAACAAGCAUAAGACAUCGGAAUCUCCUCAAGAUUGCAACCUCUUGCUCAAGUACAGACAAAGAAGGCAAUGAAUUCAAAGCUCUAGUCUUCGAUUUCAUGUCCAACGGAAACUUAGACGGUUGGCUUCACCCUACACAUCUUGGAAAAAAUCAAAGAAGAUUGAGCCUUAUACAGAGAUUGAACAUUGCCAUUGAUAUUGCCAAUGCAAUGGAUUAUCUCCAUAAUUAUUGUGAAACACCCAUUGUCCACUGUGAUCUCAAGCCUGGCAACGUAUUGCUUGAUGAUGAUAUGGUGGCCCAUGUUGGAGACUUCGGAUUAGCUAGAUUCAUCUUGGAAGGAUCAAAUGAAUCCUCCUUCGGACAAACCAUGUCACUUGCACUCAAGGGUUCUAUAGGAUACAUCCCCCCAGAGUAUGGCACUGGUGGCAAAAUUUCCAUUGAAGGAGAUAUCUUCAGCUAUGGAAUUCUACUACUAGAAAUGAUCACUGGAAAAAGACCCACUGAUGAAGUUUUUGGUGAUGGUGUGGAUAUUCAUUUAUACAUUGCAAUGGCAUUGCCCCAACAUGCCUUAGACAUAAUUGACCCUUCUUUGCUAUUUGAAGAAACACGCCAACAAGAGAAAGAGAAUGAAGACAAAAUACAAGAAAUAGCGAUAAUGGGUGAGGAAGAUGGUAGAGAAAUUGAGCAAAGAAGUAUGGAAGAAUGUGUAAUUUCUGUAAUGAAAAUUGGCCUAUCAUGCUCCUCAACAACACCUAGAGAGAGGAUGCCCAUGAAGAUUGUGGUGAACAAAUUGCAGGCAUGUAGAAGCUCCUAUCUAUCUCAAGUUUAAGAAGAAGAAGACAAGCUAAUAGUGUAAGAAGAUUAAAGAAAUUGAAGUUGCAGGUACUGCUUACCGUUGUGGUUACAUCAUAUAAUGAUAUGUUCGGUGCCCACAUAUUUUUGGAAAAGUCAAAGUAAGGUACGUUGUUUCAUCUGCAAAAAAAAUCAGUUUGUUCAAGCAAUAAGGUGGGAAGAAUACUGUAAUAAAUAAAUUCUCUUCAUACAUCUCUUCAUUUUUUUAGUACAAUAAAUGUAGGGUUAGUAGAUUUGAACCUCUAGAUGUCUUUACCGUCUCAUGCUUGGAAUAUGUUAAUUUUCAUUUCAUAGGUUUUCUAUUUUGUGAAGCUUACAUUAUAUUAUGAAAUAUUUUAAUGAUGA